rnacentral:rRNA from 1 species
UUCGAUGCUGCACGAAGAACCGUUACCAGGUUGACAUGCAAGUCGGUAGGGAAACUGAAAGGGACCGACCCUUCGGGAGCUUGCACAGGUGCUGCAUGGCUGUCGUCAGCUCGUGUCGUGAGAUGUUCGGUUAAGUCCGCUAACGAGCGCAACCCUCACUGUGUGUUAUAUGUGUCACACGGGACUGCCGGUUUUAAGCCGGAGGAAGGUGGGGAUGACGUCAAGUCAGCAUGGCCUUUAUAUCCUGGGCUACACACACGCUACAAUGGUCGGUACAAUAGGUUGCCAAGCCGCGAGGCGGAGCCAAUCCAAAAAAGCCGGCCUCAGUUCAGAUUGUAGGCUGCAACUCGCCUGCAUGAAGUUGGAGUUGCUAGUAAACGCAGGUCAGCUAUACUGCGUUGAAUACGUUCCCGGGGUUU